GUCUCCCUUCUUACGGAGGCCAGUGGAUUCCAUCCUAGAGGCUGUGUUGACCGUAUCUCCAAAUAGACAAUAACGAGGCAUCUUGAUUCCCACAACUCCAGCAGCACAGGGACCUGAAAUGAAGGACAGAAAGCAGGAAGUGGAGGCAAUAGAAAUUGCAGAGUAGAGUGAAGACAGGUGGCAUUUCUGGGAUUGGUGCCAUGACAAUGGAAGACAGAAGACAAGACAAAGGCAUAACUUUCCGUAAGCAUUUCAUGGACCAGGCGAAUGCAGCUGGAUGGGGAAGCCUGUUGCACAAGGAGGUUCCAACAAGCAGAACAAAAGCCCAGGCUAGACUAUGCGCUGUGGCAUAUUAGUCAGCCUAAACACUGCCCAUUUUUUGGAGGUGAUUUAAGAGGGUGUCUCAGCCGAAGCUGAUUUUCAGCCUGGAUCACAGGAGUGACGUGUGUGGCAAAUCAAUUUUCAUAACACAUUUUUCAAACUGAUUCUGAACCCAUAUAACUUUCAGGUGAGUUAAGACUGUAUCAAACAGCUCCCUCUCACAACCAACUUGUCUUCUUUCUUGAAUGAGGCCCUGGUUACUGGUGUCCACUCUGUUUUCCUAUCACGUCUCAA
rnacentral:lncRNA from 1 species